CCAAUAUUGUGUCCUAUAGAUACAUUGGGAUAAUCAAUACCUGCAAGAAACUUUUGUUCAUUACCAACGGUGUGGUCAUAUGAACAUCUGUAGCGGAGUAGCAGGGGUUAAUCCAAUAGCUCUCCGCUGGGAACAAAGAUUCAGCAUACAAAGUCAUAGGAACACAGCAUAAUCCACCUCCCCAAUGACUAGACGACACAGUCUGGGAGUCAACUGAGGUCUUUAUUCACAGUUCUGCUUUUAUGCAUUUUUCCCAUGCAAGGGAGGUAACUUUCAUAAUUACUACAGUAACCAAUCACACAGUGGUCAACUCCCCUACACCUCC